UACGUAGGGGGCAAGCGUUGUCCGGAAUCAUUGGGCGUAAAGCGCACGUAGGCGGCCCGGUAAGUCCGUUGUGAAAGUCAGAGGCUCAACCUCUGGAGGCCAAUGGAUACUGCCGGGCUAGAGUCCGGAAGAGGCGAGUGGAAUUCCUGGUGUAGCGGUGGAAUGCGCAGAUAUCAGGAGGAACACCAAUGGCGAAGGCAGCUCGCUGGGACGUUACUGACGCUGAGACGCGAAAGCGUGGGGGGAGCAAACAGG
rnacentral:rRNA from 1 species